rnacentral:lncRNA from 1 species
CGGGCCUCUGGGUCCGAGGCCCAUUAGUACUUCUAAACCUAAUCAAACUCGGAUCACAUCCGAAUUGGGCUUCCAGCCCCUUAAGUGUGUGACCCUAUGGGUUCGGAUACGUAUAGACAUGGCCCGAGUACUCCUACUCGGCUCAAUAGUCGGUAGCGGCCUCUAGCAAGACGUGCCAACUCCUAUACGCACACGAAGAUCAUAU